rnacentral:rRNA from 2 species
UACGUAGGGUGCGAGCGUUGUCCGGAAUUACUGGGCGUAAAGAGCUCGUAGGUGGUCUGUCGCGUCAUUUGUGAAAGCCCGGGGCUUAACUCCGGGUUGGCAGGUGAUACGGGCAUGACUGGAGUACUGUAGGGGAGACUGGAAUUCCUGGUGUAGCGGUGAAAUGCGCAGAUAUCAGGAGGAACACCGGUGGCGAAGGCGGGUCUCUGGGCAGUAACUGACGCUGAGGAGCGAAAGCAUGGGUAGCGAACAGG